rnacentral:piRNA from 1 species
UAAAUGCCUACCAUUAACAUUUAAUAUUGAUC